GCUGGGCAUGGUGGUGCAUGCCUGUAAUCCCAGCUACUCGGGAGGCUGAGGCAGGAGAAUUGCUUGAACCCAGGAGGCGGAGGUUGUGGUGAGUCGAAAUCGGGCCACCGAACUCCAGCCUGGGUGACAGAGGGAGACUCUGUCUCCA
rnacentral:SRP_RNA from 1 species